UAGGCGUGAGCCACCGCGCCCGGCCCGUACUGGUUAUUUUUGAAGUAUGUUGAUUAGUUUCCACUUAUUUGUGAGUUUUCCAAAUAUCUUUGUUAUUAAUUUCUGAUUUCAUUCCAUUGUGGUCAGAAAACGUAUUUUGAAUUACUUCAGAUUUUAACAAUUUAUUAAGACAUAUUUUAUGGCCUAGCAUAUAAUUUAUAGUGGAGAAUGUUUCAUGUGUACUUCAGAAGAAUGUGUAUCAUAUUGUUGUUGGGUAGGAUGUUCUAUAGAUGUUCGUUAGGUCUGGUUGGCAUACAUUCUGUUUUUUUUCUGAUCUGAUAUCUAGUUGUUCUCUUUAUUAUUAAAAAUGAAGGCCAGGCAUGAUGGCUCACACCUGCAAUCCCAGCACUUUGAGAGGCCAAGGCAGGCAGAUCACCUCAGGAGUUCGAGACCAGCCUGGCCAAUAUGGGGAAACCCUGUCUCUACUAAAAAUGCAAAAACCAGCCAGUCGUGGUGGCACACACCUGUAAUCCCAGCUACUCGGGAGGCUGAGGCAGGAAAAUUGCUUGAACCUGGGAGGUGGAAGUUGCAGUGAGCCGAGACUGCACCACUGCACUCCAGACUGGGCAAAAGAGCAAGACUCCAUCUCAACAACAACAAAAAGAGUAUUGAAGUGGCUAAAUAUUAUUGGUGUAUUGUUUAUCUUCCCUCCAAUUACUGCAGUUUUUACUUCAUGUACUUUGAGGCUCUGUUUUUCGGUGCAUAUAGGCUUACAAAUGUUAUAUCUUCUUGAAGGAUUGACCCUUUUAUCAUUCUAUAAUGUCCUUCUUUGUCUCUAGUAACAUUUUUUUUGUCUUAAAGCCAAUUUUUUUCUGACAUUAAUAUAGCCACUCUAGCUCUCUUUUGGUUACUUUCUGCAUGGAAUAUUUUUGCAUCCUUUUACUUUCAACCUAUUUGUGUUUUUUAAUCCAUUCUGCCAAUCUGUGCCUUUUAGUUAGAGACUUUAACCCAUUUAAUUUAAUGUAAUUAAUCAUAAGGAUUUACUUCUCCCAGUCUAUAUGCCAUUUGCCUUUUUAUUCCUUGGUUCUUCCAUUAUAGCCCUCCUUUUAUGUUCUGUAGAUACUCUCUAGUACACCAUUUUAAUUCCUUGUUGUUACUUUUACUAUAUAUUUUUUAGUUCUUUGUGUUUGCCCUGGGAUAACAAUUAACAUCUUUGUUUAUAGCCAUGUAGUUUGGGUUUUUUUUUUUUCCUAAUUUUUUCUUUUGAGACAGGGUCUCACUCCAAUUUGCCCAAGCUGGAGUGCAGUGGCGCAAUCUUGGCUCACUGCAACCUUCGCUUCCUGGGUUCAAGUGAUUCUCCUGCCCCAGCCUCCCAAGUAGCUGGGAUUCUAGGCUUGCACCACCAUGCCUGGCUAAUUUUUGUAUUUUUAGUAGAGACGGGGUUUCACCAUGUUGGGUCAGGCUGGCUUCGAACUCCUGACCUCAAGUGAUCCGUCCACCUCUACCUCCCAAAGUGCUAGGAUUACAGGCGUGAGCCACCGCCCCUGGCCAGCCCAGGAGUUUGAGACCAGCUUGGGCAACAUAGGGAGACUCCAUCUCUACAAAAAUAAAAUAAUUUUAAAAAGUAUCCAGGCAUGAUGGCACACGCCUGUGUUCCCAGCUACUCAGGAGGCUGAGGUGGGAGGAUCUCCUGGGCCCAGGAGGUUGAGGUUGCAGUGAGGUAUGAUUGUACCACUGUACUCUAGCCUGGGUGACAGAGCAAGACCCUGUCUCGAAAAAAAAUUUACAACAACAGAAAAAUAGGUUUUGUUUUGUUUUGCUCUAAUACAGCCAAAUUGUUAUUUAUCAUGAAAUUUGUGAUGGGAGGGGGAUAGGGAAAAAAAGAAAUAUGCAAUAUGCCUUCUUUCAGUCUUUUUUUUCUUUCCUGUUAUGCCUCUCUACUUGAUUCUGCAUCAGUAGUAUGACCUUAUUUUAAUUUUUUUUUUUUGUUUUGGUGAGACAAGAGUUUCACUCAUGUCGCCCAGGCUAGAGCGCAAUGGCACAAUCUCGGCUCACUACAACCUCUGCCUUCUGGGUUCAAGCAAUUCUCCUGCCCAAGUAGCUGGGAUUACAGGCACCCACCACCAUGCCCGGCUAAUUUUUGUAUUUUUAGUAGAAAUGGAGUUUCACCAUGUUGUUCAGGCUGGUCUCGAAAUCCUGACCUCAGUGGUUCAUACCUGUAAUCGCACCAUUUUGGGAGGCCAAGACAGGAGGAUCACCUGUAAUCCCACCAUUUUGGGAGGCCAAGACAGGAGGAUCACUUGAGGCCAGGAGUUUGAGACCAGCCUGGGCAACAUAGCGAGACCCUGUCACUAC
rnacentral:lncRNA from 1 species